rnacentral:rRNA from 1 species
AUAACGACUCUCGGCAACGGAUAUCUCGGCUCACGCAUCGAUGAAGAACGUAGCAAAAUGCGAUACUUGGUGUGAAUUGCAGAAUCCCGUGAACCAUCGAGUUUUUGAACGCAAGUUGCGCCCGAAGCCAUCUGGCUGAGGGCACGUCUGCCUGGGCGUCACGCAUCAU